UGGGGAAUAUUGCGCAAUGGGCGAAAGCCUGACGCAGCGACGCCGCGUGAGGGAUGAAGGUUUUCGGAUCGUAAACCUCUGUCAGAAGGGUAGAAACCGCACUGUGCUAAUCAGCAGUGCCUUGACGGUACCUUCAAAGGAAGCACCGGCUAACUCCGUGCCAGCAGCCGCGGUAAUACGGAGGGUGCAAGCGUUAAUCGGAAUUACUGGGCGUAAAGCGCACGUAGGCUGCUUUGUAAGUCAGGGGUGAAAUCCCACGGCUCAACCGUGGAACUGCCUUUGAUACUGCUUAGCUUGAAUCCGGGAGAGGGUGGCGGAAUUCCAGGUGUAGAAGUGAAAUCCGUAGAUAUCUGGAGGAACAUCAGUGGCGAAGGCGGCCACCUGGACCGGUAUUGACGCUGAGGUGCGAAAGCGUGGGGAGCAAACAGG
rnacentral:rRNA from 1 species